rfam:Nicotiana attenuata strain TT chromosome 3, whole genome shotgun sequence.
GUCCCUUUGGGUACAUCCAACAAAAUUGGAAUAAUAUAUAUAGACAAGAUCGCAGCUCCUGCAUAAGGAUGACAGGAGCAUAUCGAGAAAUGAUCCAAACUUAA